rnacentral:rRNA from 1 species
CCAGACUCCUACGGGAGGCAGCAGUGGGGAAUAUUGCACAAUGGGGGAAACCCUGAUGCAGCGACGCCGCGUGAGUGAAGAAGUAUUUCGGUAUGUAAAGCUCUAUCAGCAGGAACGAGACAAGACGGUACCUGACUAAGAAGCCCCGGCUAACUACGUGCCAGCAGCCGCGGUAAUACGUAGGGGGCAAGCGUUAUCCGGAAUCACUGGGUGUAAAGGGAGCGUAGACGGCUGUGCAAGCCUGAAGUGAAAGGCGGGGGCCCAACCCCUGGACUGCUUUGGGAACUGUACGGCUAGAGUGCAGGAGAGGUAAGUGGAAUUCCUAGUGUAGCGGUGAAAUGCGUAGAUAUUAGGAGGAACACCAGUGGCGAAGGCGGCCUGCUGGACGGUGACUGACGCUGAGGCUCGAAAGCGUGGGGAGCAAACAGGAUUAGAUACCCCUGUA